UGAAAGCUAAAUGAGGUGAAGGUUGAUGGAUAAGUUUCAGAUACAUUCGUGAGACACAUAAAAGUUUUGCACCUUCGAAAAGCCAAUCUAACCAUAAACGUGGAAAAGAUAAAUUUUUGCGGCAAGGUGGUGAAUUACUCAG